AAGAUAGGACGUAAUGUGCCAAGCAAGUUCUUCCAAAAAUCUUGCAGAGAACAAGCUGGCAACUUUUCCAGUAAUUUGUGGUUGUGAAAGAUGAAUAGUAGACAUUUCAGGAAAGGGAAGUGUCCUGGGGCAAUGCGUUAUAUAGAUAUUCACUUCUGGACUGGAAAUCUCAUUCUUGAGAUUUCACUGACCAGCAACACUCCAGUGAAACUGCAGUCAAAAUUUAUGGAGUCUGCAGUAAAUAUGAAGCUAAAGUAACAGAUUUGAGAACUUUCAAAACAAAAUAUGGGACUGAAGAAAAAAAGAACACUAAAUGUAGCAAGAAAAUUAUCCCUUACGAAUAAAGUUGCACAGAGCCC
rnacentral:lncRNA from 1 species